rnacentral:rRNA from 1 species
UACGUAGGGCGCAAGCGUUGUCCGGAAUUAUUGGGCCUAAAGCAUCCGUAGCCGGUCCUGCAAGUCUUCCGUUAAAUCCAGCUGCUCAACAGAUGGGCUGCGGGGGAUACUACAGGGCUAGGAGGCGGGAGAGGCAAGCGGUACUUUAUGGGUAGGGGUAAAAUCCGUUGAUCCAUAGAAGACCACCAGUGGCGAAGGCGGCUUGCCAGAACGCGCUCGACGGUGAGGGAUGAAAGCUGGGGGAGCAAACCGG